ensembl:lncRNA
GUGAGAGAGAGAGUGAGAGAGAGAGAGAGAGAGUGAGAGAGAGAGAGUGAGAGAGAGAGAGAGAGUGAGAGAGAGAGUGAGAGAGAGAGUGAGAGAGAGUGAGAGAGAGAGUGAGAGAGAGUGAGAGAGUGAGAGUGAGAGAGAGAGUGAGAGAGAGAGAGUGAGAGAGAGUGAGAGAGUGAGAGAAGAAAAAGAAGCCACUUUGAGCCUUCGUGCAAUACUGGAGGAAUUCCUCUUUUUUACCGACAGAACUUUUAACGUGUCGGGAUGUUAUUUGUUUUGUUUUGUUUUGAUAUCGACUCAGAUUGUGUAUUCUGUAUUCUCUUCUUCCUCCCGAGCCAGCAGAUCAGUUUAAGGAAACGCUCGUGACUUCAGCGCACAGACUCGCACCAAAUGUUACGCUUCCUCUGUG